GAGGAAUAUUGGACAAUGGGUGAGAGCCUGAUCCAGCCAUCCCGCGUGAAGGACGACGGCCCUAUGGGUUGUAAACUUCUUUUGUAUAGGGAUAAACCUAGAUACGUGUAUCUAGCUGAAGGUACUAUACGAAUAAGCACCGGCUAACUCCGUGCCAGCAGCCGCGGUAAUACGGAGGGUGCAAGCGUUAUCCGGAUUUAUUGGGUUUAAAGGGUCCGUAGGCGGAUGUGUAAGUCAGUGGUGAAAUCUCACAGCUUAACUGUGAAACUGCCAUUGUUACUGCAUGUCUUGAGUGUUGUUGAAGUAGCUGGAAUAAGUAGUGUAGCGGUGAAAUGCAUAGAUAUAACGAGGAACUCCGAUUGCGUAGGCAGCUUACUAAGCCAUAACUGACGCUCAUGCACGAAAGCGUGGGGAUCAAACA
rnacentral:rRNA from 1 species